rnacentral:rRNA from 1 species
UACGUAGGGUGCAAGCGUUUGUCCGGAAUUAUUGGGCGUAAAGAGCUCGUAGGCGGUCUGUCGCGUCUGCUGUGAAAACUCGGGGCUUAACCCCGAGCCUGCAGUGGAUACGGGCAGACUAGAGGUAGGUAGGGGAGAAUGGAAUUCCCGGUGUAGCGGUGAAAUGCGCAGAUAUCGGGAGGAACACCAAUUGCGAAGGCAGCUCGCUGGGACGUAACUGACGCUGAGACGCGAAAGCGUGGGGAGCAAACAGG